rnacentral:lncRNA from 1 species
UGGCACUCCAGUUUGUUAGACCAAGGAUAUUGUUAUAAUUUCUAUGUGUACUGCAUUUCUAUUUGUAUUGCUGUAGUACCAGAGGGGACAACCAGAACUGAAUGGAAUGGAAGUAUGACUAGAGGAUAGCAAAGGACAUAGACAUAAUUUUCUGUAUUUCUUCUCCCUGAAAAGGUUGCUGUGAAGAUGAUGCAUUUAAUCUAAGAAAAAGUACAUCUUGCAUGUGAUUCCUUAGGAAGAUUUUAUAUGUUCUCAUAUUUUGUAUUCCUUUUAAGCUAAAAGGCUCAGUGAGACUGAAGGGAAACUUCAUAUACUAAAGUCUGCCAAUAAAAAAGAAUCACCAAUGACUGUUACCUCCAUCAAGCAAUGCACUUAGCCACCUACUUUCUGUCUGCACAGUCUGCUUGAACCUCAUUGCCCAUGACAUCAGGCAGACUCUGAAUGGAGCUCUGAGGACUCCAGCAGCAGAUCUAGCCCUCAGUCCACAACUUGCUGAGAGAAUAAGAUCUGUCCAUUUUAUUCUUCAAAAGUAGAGCUUUAGUAUCUUCCCUCUUCAUCUGGCUUCCCUUGUCACACUCGCAUUCAAGGAAGUUUCUACAACUUUCAUCAAGUUUUUGCUACUGCUGCUGGGGCCUUAUAAUUAGGCUCCAAUGACAAACCAUUUGCCAAUAUGUUCUUGAUUAUCCUUGUGACAGACCUUCACUGAGCCUUCAAAUGCUCAAGGCAAAAGAGGCUCUUUUUUUUUUUUUUCGAUCUUUGGCUUCCUGGCUGACUUAUAACAGGUAAGCCAAAAACCUGAGUCUGCUCUGGGUUUAAAUAUUUUUUUAAUAUUUCUCCAUUACUGUUCCAAUUUAUUUUGAUUUCUGUUCUGAUUUUAGAAUAUGAAAAUGUUGAAUUUACUCCUCUAUUUCUGUGAAUAAUUGUAUUUUAAAAUUCUUUCAUAAGAUUUAGGAAAGCAAGUAUUACUGUUUUUAUUGUUGUUAUUUUAGGGACAUUCAUCAGUGAAACUUAGCAGGGGACUUGUAACGUUUUGCACAAUUGAAGCAAAUGGUUUAGCUAAUAUCUGACAACAUUCCAGUCUAACACUAACAGGCUGUUAAUCUGCCACCAAAUAGAUUUACAGUGAAAGCUUUUCCUUUCUCUGCAGGACAAAGCAAAAUUUGAAAUAUCCCCCUCAAGCUAAUCCUCUGAAUUACUAGAUUCAAGAGAGAAUCACUUAAUUUUUUACUUGUGAUCAUAUUUCGUCUCCACUCUACCUUUUGUACUUUUGUAUCUAUCUUACAGUUUUCAUAUC